rnacentral:rRNA from 1 species
CACCAGCCCCUCGAGUGGUGGGGAUGAUUAUUUGGCCUAAAGCGUCCGUAGCCGGCCGGGUAAGUUUCCCGUUAAAUCCAGCGUCUCAAGCGUUGGACUGCGGGAAAUACUGCCUGGCUAGAGAGUGGGAGAGGUCAGCGGUAUUCGUGGGGGUAGGGGCGAAAUCCUUUGAUCCCCGGAGGACCACCAGUGGCGAAGGCUGCUGACUAGGGGGGGGGGAACACGUCUGACGGUCAGGGACGAAAGCUGGGGUAGCGAACCGGAUUAGAUACCCGGGUAGUCCCAGCCGUAAACGAUGCAUGCUAGGUGUUGGGUUGGCCACGAGCCACCCCAGUGCCGCAGGGAAGCCGUUAAGCAUGCCGCCUGGGAAGUACGAUCGCAAGAUUGAAACUUAAAGGAAAUUGGCGGGGGGGCACCACCAGGCGUGAAGCCUGCGGUUU